rnacentral:rRNA from 1 species
UACGUAGGUGGCAAGCGUUGUCCGGAUUUACUGGGCGUAAAGAGCGCGCAGGCGGUCGUUCAAGUCGCGUGUGAAAGCCCCCGGCUCAACUGGGGAGGGUCACGCGAUACUGAUCGACUCGAAGGCAGGAGAGGGUAGUGGAAUUCCCGGUGUAGUGGUGAAAUGCGUAGAUAUCGGGAGGAACACCAGUGGCGAAGGCGGCUACCUGGCCUACUCUUGACGCUGAGGCGCGAAAGCUAGGGGAGCAAACGGG